ACCUGAGCUUGCAUUCUACCUCAAAAGCAGUUGGGGAAGCCAGAGCCAAGCCCCUCUCCACCUACGUCCUGAAUUUCCCUCAGUCUAAGGCUGGGGGUGAGGCCGAGGACCUCUAAAUCCGCAAACACACCAAAAUACCCACCCAUACGCAUACACACCCACACUCUGUUCCCCCUCUGAAACCUGGAAUCACUCCUGCCUGCCCCACCCAGCUCCACCCACCCUGGCUAGGCAGGUUCUGUAGAGACCUGCUCCGCUGUCUCUCUGGCACCCCCACCCCCAUCCCAGCUCCCAGAAGGUACCUGCCCCCCAACACAGCACACAAAAGCAGACACGUGUGCACAUUCAUGUCCCAUAGCACCCCAUUCCCUAGCCUUCCCCAGACCCAUUCCUAGUCCGUCUUGAAGAGAACACUGGGGGUGGAAAGGCUGCAGGAGAAAAGGCAGGCCCCACAAUUUCCACCACCAGGCUUUGAGCUGCUUCCUCCCUUGGCCUAGGCAGAGAACUGGCCCGUACCUGCCCACCAGAAAACAGGGGAAUUACUCAAGUGCAAGAUUAAAGGCAAUAAUGAGCAAUCAGACCGAACUGGAAUGACAGUAGGGGAAGGUGAAGAGACUUUGGGAAAAGGAAGAGCACUGAAGUCAGACCUGGCACAGCCUUUUACGAGCUAUGUAAUCUCAGGUGAGUCGCUCCCCUUUUCCAAACUUCAGUUUCCUUAUCUAUAAAAUGGCAAUAAUAGUGCCUACUUCAGAAGGUUAAGAGUUUUCAGCAAAAUAAUGUAUGCAGAAUAUUACAGAUUCUGGCACACAAUAGAUGCUUAAAAAAAUGUUAGUUCCCACCUUUUCUCCUUUAGUGGGUCCACAGCGAAUCCCCUCCACUUCCUGCUCCCAUAACCUCACUGUAAGGAGAAACACCCCAAAAUAAGAUGGAACCACCUCUAGGUGCAGGGUUGUCCCUGUUCUAAAUUAGACCACAUCCAGGUACUGCCUGAGAGAGCAACCAACAUGCCUCUUCCUCCUCUCUGCUUCUUUCUUCAGAGGCCCUUGGAUCCCCCACCUUUCCUCCUCUCCUUCCUCCUUCCUCACUUACAGUAAAGCAGACCUGGGUUCCAAUCACCUCCCACUCUCCUCUAGGCUCUAAGCCCAGCUGUGUGUGGAGCGGCAGGGGAAGGAGGCCCCAAGCCUCCCACCCUACCCAGCCCCCAGCUUCAUCCCACUCUCCCCUCUCCCUGCCCCACCCUGAUUACCAGGAUAUCCUCAGGUCUGCUGAUUCCAAGCCUGCUUCUCUCAAACCAGUUCCCAGCUGUUAUGUCUAUAAUUACCAAUCUUGCCAGGGGCAUCCGACAAAGCACAGCAAAACCUCAUUUCCAAAGGGCCCCACCAUAAAGGGCCUCUGCCUCCUACUCUGUACCAAGCAGGGUAGAGACAAGGAAUGCAAACAUUCUCCCUGGCCCACCACAGUUCUAUCCAGACUACAACAGAGAAGGUGAGAGAGGGCUGCCCAAGCCACAUCACCAAGAGACAGGAUAAAGAAGGGGAGGGCCGCCGUAGGGUAGAAUGUGAGUAGGACUUAGUCCCAGGCCUUUCCUUCACCUCUGCUGCCAAAAUCUCAUCAUGCACAGGGUUACCCACCUGUGGAAGGUAAAAGGGAAAAUUUCAGGUCAAUUCAGAGAGAGGGGAAGCUGAUGUCAAGUGAACAGGGAGAUGGCUCCCCACAAGGAUGAGGGUUGAUGCAUACAGGAGUGAGCUGCCCAGGAAAGAGGAGGAAAGAGCAAGUUUUAAAAGUCCCAUCCCCAGCCCAGACCCUGAGAAGAGGCAAUAAUACCCUAGCCUCUCUUCUCCCCUAAUACCUCCAACUCUACCAAGCCCAUAGCACAAGCAGGAAAGGGAUGAUUAACUUUGUUUUAUAGACAGAGAAACUGAGGCCAAAUCCCCACUUCAUACUGCAAGGUACAGGACUACCAAAUACCCUGUGUGCCUUCUUGCUCACGCUCAGCCUCCACCAGGAGUGCCAUCCUAAGACCCUUCCUGUUGGCCUAACUCAUCCUUUAACCAGGUAAAGUCUGUCCACACAAGGGAAUAAUAUUCAGCUAUAAAAGGGAAUGAAGUACUAAUACAUGCUACAUGCUACCGUGUGGAUUAACCUGGAAAACAUUAUGUUAAGCGAAGGAAGCCAGAUUCAAAAGGUCAUGCAUUCUAUCAUUCCAUUUGUAUGAAAUAUCCAGAAUAGGUACAUCCAUAGAGACAGGAUGCAAAUUGGUGGUUGCCAGGGGCUGGGGUAAGGGGAAAUGGCGACAAUUGUGUAAUGGGUAUGGGUUUUGUUUCGGGAUGGUGCAAAUGUUUGGGGACUAGACAGAGGUGGUUGUUGCACAGCACUGUGAAUGUACUAAAUGCCACUGUUCACUUUAAAAUGGUUUAUUUCCUAUUAUGUGAAUUUCACCUUAAUUUUUUUAAAAUCCAGCUAACAGGGCAUCUCCUGCAGGAACCUUCCCUGGCACCUCACCCCAGGGCCAAGCACUCUUCCUCUAUGCUCCAGUGGCCUCCUGAACACACCUCCACACAGCACUCACUGGGCUGCAGUGAAUCAACAUGUUUUCACAUGUCUCCCCUGGGAAAACAUCUUAUUUGCCCCUCCAUCCCCUGUGCUUCACACUGUGCCUGGCAGAUAGGAGAGAGUGCCUAAUGUGGUCGGCCAAAGGAAGAUCAGAACCAAAGCCUAGUUCUCCUAUCCCGACUCCGACCUCUCUCCCUUAAUGAUGAUUAUCCCUCAGAAUCCGAACCAUCCAGCUAACAUUUACUAUGUGCCAGGAACUGUGCAACGUGCUUUCUCUAUUAUUUCAUUUAAUCCUCAUAACCCCAAGAAGUAGGGCCUAUUAUUAAUUCCAUUUUACAGGUGAGGCUUCAAAAAGUUACCAGUUUUGUCUGAUGUCACGGAAUUAGACAGUGGCAAAGCCAGAAUUUAAAAGCAAACCAGGGAAGAAAGCCACUUGGUGGGGGACCAGGGAUUCCUUGUGGAAGGGCUCAGUCUAGGCUUGGAGGAUGUGCCUUAAGACACCUAAGAGGCUGGGGAAUGGGGUUUAUUACUUGCCCAGAUCACACCACUGUUAAGUACUAAUUCCAACCAACUCUGACUCCUUUCUCUGGCCUCACAAUGUGAUGAACACUUGAGGGAAGGAGAAGACUGGAGUUCCCUAAAACUCAGAGGGGAUCAGAUCUCUUCCUUUUCCCUGCCAAAGCUUCUGUUAGUCAAGUUCCCUCCCCAUUAACUGGAAGGACCUGGAAACCAGAUGAGCAGAUAAAAAACUGUCCUGCUCUAGGGCCAGGGAAGGGGGGAUAUUUCCUCAGAUCUAAAAGGAUCAGGAGGAGAGGCAAACACACCAGAGAGGCCUGCCCCGGAAGAAUUAGAGGAAAUAGAAGUCAGGAGCAAGACAAUGGGUGAGGAGGGGCCAACGUGGCCACUGACUCCCAAUCUGGAAGUACUUUCAGAAAUGGCAUUUCCUAUUAUCUGACCACAAUUCCUCCUCUUUGGAAGAGAGCCCCCACCAGCAUAAUAUAUCAUGCAUGUGAUCAGCGUAUACAGAGCAAACAAGGGACCCCAGAGGGCCAGGGCACACCAUCUUAGAUGCAAGUGCCUUACUAGCCCUGGGAGCCCUAACUAUCAGACAGGUGUUGGGUUUGGGGGAAUGAUCCAUUAAAAAAAAAAAAAGGUCUUUUAAA
rnacentral:lncRNA from 1 species